UACAGAGGUCUCAAGCGUUAUUCGGAAUUAUUGGGCGUAAAGGGCGCGUAGGCGGCCUUUCAAGUGACGGGUGAAAUCCCUCGGCUUAACCGAGGAACUGCCUGUCAGACUGGGAGGCUUGAGACCGGGAGAGGUGAGUGGAAUUCCCAGUGUAGCGGUGAAAUGCGUAGAUAUUGGGAGGAACACCAGUGGCGAAGGCGGCUCACUGGACCGGAACUGACGCUGAUGCGCGAAAGCGUGGGGAGCAAACAGG
rnacentral:rRNA from 1 species